UGUUUUUCCAUGAGCACAAUCUGCUCCACAUGGGGGAUGGCAAAUCAUCCGUUCUACGAAGUCCUCCUAACAGUGUUUUUACACUGUGGGUAUAAACCUCAAAAAGAGAGGAAUACUAAACCAUAUACCAUGGAUACCCAAAAGUCAGAUGAAAUUGAUGUGUUUUGUCCUUCAGAAGUUUUACCUAUGAAAGUACGCAUAUGCCUACUGGAUAUUGUUACUGUUACCAGUGCUGUGAACACUUGGGGUAGAAGGAGUUUAAAUUUUCUGCAUUCUAUGAUGCAGCUUGAAGCAGCAGUGAUUUUCUUUUAAUGGGAAGAUCCAAAGUCUCUUCAUUUAAUUGUAUAAUCCUCCACACUGAUCAAGGAAGAAAACUUAGGGUCAUUGCUCAGUGAAUUGCCUUACAAUGCACGACAAUUACAUUGGAAGCAAAACAAAGGGUGUGAAGUUGUCAGAAAGUACUGAUGCUGACCAGUCUUUUCAUACAUAAAAAAUGGAUUUAAGCAUCACUGGUACUGUUGCUGCUGCCUGAACAACCUGAACACCUGAACAACCAUUAUUUUAAUUAGUCUCAAAAAAUUUUUAUGGAGUGAAAAAAAAUAUAUAAUUACAGGUUCAGUUGUGAAUUAAAGUCCUGGGAAAACAUUACACUUUUCUCAUAAUAUCAUUUAGUUCUUCCUUGUGUUGUGUUCAACUGUCAACUUAGGAGUGAAAGUUUUGGUUGCCUAGUAUUGUUC
ensembl:lncRNA